rnacentral:rRNA from 1 species
GACGAACGCUGGCGGCGUGCUUAACACAUGCAAGUCGAACGGAAAGGCCCUGCUUUUGUGGGGUGCUCGAGUGGCGAACGGGUGAGUAACACGUGAGUAACCUGCCCUUGACUUUGGGAUAACUUCAGGAAACUGUGGCUAAUACCGGAUAGGAGCUCCUGCUUCAUGGUGGGGGUUGGAAAGUUUCGGCGGUUGGGGAUGGACUCGCGGCUUAUCAGCUUGUUGGUGGGGUAGUGGCUUACCAAGGCUUUGACGGGUAGCCGGCCUGAGAGGGUGACCGGCAACAUUGGGACUGAGAUACGGCCAAGACUCCUACGGGAGGCAGCAGUGGGGAAUAUUGCACAAUGGGCGGAAGCCUGAUGCAGCAACGCCGCGUGCGGGAUGACGGCCUUCGGGUUGUAAACCGCUUUCGCCUGUGACGAAGCGUGAGUGACGGUAAUGGGUAAAGAAGCACCGGCUAACUACGUG